rnacentral:rRNA from 1 species
AGUGAACGCUGGCGGCAGGCCUAACACAUGCAAGUCGAACGGCAGCACAGUAAGAGCUUGCUCUUACGGGUGGCGAGUGGCGGACGGGUGAGGAAUACAUCGGAAUCUACUUUUUCGUGGGGGAUAACGUAGGGAAACUUACGCUAAUACCGCAUACGACCUACGGGAGAAAGCAGGGGAUCUUCGGACCUUGCGCGAUUCAAUGAGCCGAUGUCGGAUUAGCUAGUUGGCGUGGUAAAGUCUCACCAAGGCGACGAUCCGUAGCUGGUCUGAGAGGAUGAUCAGCCACACUGGAACUGAGACACGGUCCAGACUCCUACGGGAGGCAGCAGUGGGGAAUAUUGGACAAUGGGCGCAAGCCUGAUCCAGCCAUGCCGCGUGAGUGAAGAAGGCCUUCGGGUUGUAAAGCCCUUUUGUUGGGAAAGAAAAGCAGCAGGUUAAUACCCCGCUGUUCUGACGGUACCCAAAGAAUAAGCACCGGCUAACUUCGUG